AACAAAGUUAUCUAGGAAUUAGUCUUGGCUUUGGUUACUGAAUAACCUUUGCUUCACAUUGAAUAUUAAAGAAUAGAAAUUACCCUUCCAGGUACUGAUCUUUCACCGAGGCACAAAAGAAAGUGAGUGAGUUCGGCUUCAGAUUCUGCCAGCUCUUGAUGUAGACGAGACCUCGAAACAUUGGCCUGGUCAACUUUUCUCCGGUUUUGCUUUGAAGACAAGUGUGAAAGUGACACAUACUCUGCUACAGAAGCUUCCAGUUUAAGUGAAGGCUCAUCCGCAUCUCCCUCCUCCUCCUUUGAUUCUUCAGUUUUAGGUCUCUUUCUCUUUCUCUCUCUCAACUUCAUCUGAAUUUGGUAAAGUUUAGGAGUCGCUUUUGUGCUGAUGCGUUUGCUUCUGCUGUAUGAAAAGCCUGAGAGAGAUGUUUUUAUUUCUUUAUAUAUGACAUUCAAAACUUGAUUCCUAAGCAAACCUCUAGUGCUAACUUUUUACUUAUCUA